CGUAGUUANCCGGGACUUAUUCCUGAGGUACCGUCAUUAUCGUCCCUCAGAAAAGGAUUUUACAACCCGAAGGCCUUCAUCAUCCACGCGGCGUUGCUGCGUCAGGGUUUCCCCCAUUGCGCAAUAUUCCUCA
rnacentral:rRNA from 1 species